AAAACACUGAGGCAGCAGACAGCCCAAUGCUUUUCUAUGUAGAGAAAACACUGAGGCAGCAGACAGCCCAAUGCUUUUCUAUGUAGAGAAAACACUGAGGCAGCAGACAGCCCAAUGCUUUUCUACAUAGAGAGAACACUGAGGCAGCAGACAGCCCAAUGCUUUUCUACGUAGAGAAAACACUGAGGCAGCAGAUAGCCCAAUGCUUUUCUAUGUAGAGAAAACACUGAGGCAGCAGACAGCCCAAUGCUUUUCUAUGUAGAGAAAACACUGAGGCAGCAGACAGCCCAAUGCUUUUCUACGUAGAGAAAACACUGAGGCAGCAGACAGCCCAAUGCUUUUCUAUGUAGAGAGAACACUGAGGCAGCAGACAGACAGCCCAAUGCUUUUCUACGUAGAGAAAACACUGAGGCAGCAGACAGACAGCCCAAUGCUUUUCUACGUAGAGAAAACACUGAGGCGGUUUAGGAGGUGAGCCACUCAGACGUGAGACUACAGAAGCAGAAGGUCGUUAAAGCUUCUGUUUUUGAUCGACGACGAGGCAAACCUCGGUUGGUUGUAAGUGUUGAUUUUAACGAGGGCUAUCCUCAUCGCGAUUUGGUUUGGUAGGUGUCGUAGUCCAGCGAGUGGGUGGAUAUGCUUAUUAUCUUAAUUAUUGAUGAAUUAUCUUAAUCGUGACUUAAGACAGAGCGGGACGAUCAAAAUACCCUCUCCUGUAAACUUGUUAUUCCCUACUGCUGCUUGUACCUACACGGGGAGGUAUCUUAACCUUGUAGAUCACACUAUGUCCACUAAACCUGUUUUAAACAACGUGACUGAUUAUUAAGAUGGAGUCCCAUAAAGGGACAGUGAUUUGUUCAGAGGGGGGAGUCUCUACCGUAAAGCAAUGCUGUUUAGUGGCUUUAAACCGUUACAAUGCUGCCUUCUGCUAUAACACUUGAGCUCCUCAUAGUGUGUGUGUCCCAAAUGUCUUCAUACUUACUAAUAUAUAGUGCACUACUUUUGAACAGAGCCCCUAUGCGUAGUGUGCUAUAUAGGGGAAUAGUGUUCCAUUUGGGAAGUCCCAUCUCUAGCAGGAACA
ensembl:lncRNA